GGAUGAUUUUCCAUGUGAAAGUUUUGAAUCAAGAUAAGUGAGCCACUUUUGGAGUCUAGUUCAGGUUCAUGACUGCCUCACAGUCCUGGAUACAACUCAUUUAGGCAUCCAUCUGCCACACUUUUAGUGACAUCCAAUCAUAUGCUUUAGCUACCUUGGCACCAAACAAAUUAAAGAACUCUGAGGAGUUUCUAAGAUAUGUAUUGUCAUAUUCAAUACUUCAAAUAAAUACAAAAUUUACUUUAUAAAAUGUUGGCAGCUUUGGAGUCUAAACUAAUGACAAAUUUUAAAAUGAUUUUCUGUGGCAAGUACUUGGGCCAUCUUCCACUACUUUCUUAGGCCAUAAGCAGAGAGCUGGAUCAGAAGAGGAGCAGCAGGGACACGAACCGGUGCCCACAUAGGAGGCUGGCACAGCAGGCAGAGACUUGGCUUUCUACGUCACAGCACCGGUCCCUGGAAUAAUGUUACUAUUUUGUUUAUAGGUAAAGAAACUAAAAAUUCAAAAGAUUAAGUGAGUUGAUAAGUUUUUGGAGCUAGAUCUCAGUCAGGUCUCCUUUUCCAAAAUCUAUUCAUAUUGACUUUAUUAUACAUUACUUUAUUCUGUUCAUUUAUUCAGCACAUUCUAAUUAUUACAUUUGAGGAUGGAAGAGAAAUAAAAGUCAAGAUAAAUCUGUUAAGUGUUUGAUAAUAACUAGCAUUCUAUUUCAGUACAAGGGAGCUACAAAAAACUUCAUGGACAAUGCGCAUUAUCUUUUCAUCCCAUUUUUCAUGAAAUUUUAGUAGCCCCCUUGUAUACUAAGGAUGAUUCAUGCAUCUCCUUCAAUUCCUACCACAACUUCUGGAAUAGAUUUUCUCUAACUUACAGAUGAGGCAAAUGGAACAUGGAUAAUUUAAGUAACUUACCCAAAAAGCAAGAUUUGAAGCUAAAUCUGACUCUGGAGCCUGCACAAUGAAGCCUUAUGACUGGUGGAGCUCACUUGUCUCCAGCCAUUGAGUACUAUGUGCCAGAUUCUGCUUUGCGUUUUGGAGUGGAGGAAGAAGGAAAAAAUAAAAUGAGAUAUGGAAUUCAGCCAAUACAAUAAGAAAGGUAUGAUAUUCUUGUUGAAAGUUUUUCCUCCUUAAAUUAGUGUAGUUUUACAUAUAUGUGUAUUGAUUUUGUUUUUAUUAGCCCCAAGCUAAUCCUCAAAAGUAAAUGUUUACAAGUGUGUUGAGAAGACACUGAUUUAACCAUUUACAUAUAUAACAAAGCAGAGACUGGGAUGUAAUGGAAGGUAGGGUAUAGGGAGGAGGAAGAGUGGUUGGUAUAGGAGAAGCAAGCUCUGACUUCUCUUAGACUUUGCUAUGAGGUAGGAAGAGGAAAAAAGAGGCAUUAAGAUUGUCUUGAUUAUAUAUCAGGAAACUCAGCAGGUGUGUAUGCCUACAGUAAGUGUUGAAUGAACAUUUGAUCCCUGAAUAUUUAUGUAAGUGGUGAAAUCAGGAAAAUUUAUAGAAUAAGCUUAAGAAGUCAUUGAGGUUCAGAUUGACAAGAGUGGUUUUGAUUUUGUAUGUAUUUGUUCCUUUCAAUGGUGUAUUUUGUUAAAUAUAAUUGCCCUUAAUAUGCGGUUUUCCAAAAGACACUGCAU
rnacentral:lncRNA from 1 species